rnacentral:misc_RNA from 1 species
CGCGUUCGGCGCUGUCCGCCAUUGUGCCGUCCACACAGUUCGUCACCCGAAUCACCGCGCCGUGCGUCCCUGGCAAUAUCGCCGUAUUAUCGCGUUUAAACUGUCCCGAAAAGCCGACAAAAUAAGUAAAAUAUCUGUAAUAAUGGCCGACAGAUCGAGCAAUGGUGAAUAUAAGUAUCAGCGGGAGGACAGCAGCGAGAGCAAGCCGAGGAUACCGCUCGAGAAGGAGCGCGAGGAGAAGGACCAUCAGGCCGACAAGGCCGGGGAAUACGUCAGGGAGCUGCUGCAGGAGAAGUUGGAGCUCGAUGGAUCCAAGUGGCCCAACGCCCAUCGACUCAUCGAUCAAGAAAUUCAAAAGACACAAGCUAUUGGGAAACCGUUGAGAGACCCGAAGUACGUUGACAUUUAUCGAGAAAAACCGAUAAGGGUAGCGGUCAAGGUCCUGGUGCCUGUUCGUGAGCAUCCAAAGCAGUUCAACUUUGUCGGGAAAUUGCUGGGCCCCAAAGGAAACUCGAUGAAACGUCUACAGGAAGAAACAAUGUGCAAGAUGGCAGUUUUGGGACGCGGCUCAAUGAAGGACAGACAAAAGGAGGAGGAAUGUCGCCAAUCGCUGGACCCGAAAUACGCCCAUCUCUCGGACGAUCUUCACGUUGAAAUUGCGGCUCUCGCACCCCCGGCGGAAGCUCAUGCUCGGAUCGCCUUCGCCCUGGCCGAAGUCCGGAAGUAUCUUAUCCCGGACAACAACGACAACAUCCGACAGGAACAGAUGCGCGAAAUGGAGUUAACCAUGGCCGACGAUCCGUCUGCUGGCGAAGAAAGGCGACCUUCGGCGAGGGGUGGUGGAAUCCUGAGACCCAGCAGCCGGCCGACGGUUCCAAGGUCAUCCAGGGCAGCCAUUCUGCCGCCGCCGUCGAGCCGGGGGCCGAUAACGCGUCCAGUGCCGGCGAAGACCAAAGUCUUCUCGAUACUGGAUCGUGCCAGAGUUGCGAUGGACCAGAGUUACGGAACCUCUUCCCGUAGGUACGAGGCGCCCACUCCACCGCCUAGCAGCCGGGUCGCGUCUCAUCACGAUUACGACUAUCAUCCGUCUUCUUCAUCGAGCAGCCGUUACGCCGAUCGCCAUUACACCUCGUCCUCCGCGGAUGAUCUGUAUCCUUCAUCGAGAUAUACAACGUAUGAAUACGAGGAUGACGCUGUGCCUCAUUCAUCGCAUGAUUAUUACGAAUCAUCGGAGUAUCCAGGUGUAUAGAAGAUCCUUGAUCGCGUGGGAACGCGUACUUGCCGAAAAAAAAACUUCAAAAGUUUUUGGUCUCUGAGGCGUCGGACCAUGAAGUGCCUUAAUGUCGAAGAUUCAUGGGGAACCAACACACAUGGACACGUCUCGCGCGGACGUGUGAUGUUUUACAUUAUAAGCAAAAACGGUGCAGACGCUACUGCAACGUUAAUAUAUAUGUGAUGACUUAUUUAAUGAUAAUAUAUUUAAAAAAAAAUUAAUAAAUCGUUGUGACAUUAUAUUUAUACGAAUAUA